UAGGGUUUCGGCGGCCCUGCCCCACUGCCUGGGGUGCCUGCCUAAGUCACUCAUAACCAAAGCGCGUGGCUGCCGGGCCCCGCCCUCGGUGCAUUGUUUCUCCCAGCGGCCCUGUCCAUACAUGCCUCACUUUUCUUUACAGACGAGGAGACCGGGGCACCGAGUGGCCUGGCAAGAGCUGUGAAGCCUCGGGAGUUGGAGCUAGAGCCGGAGUGCUCUCCAGAGAGGUGUGGCUGAGGUCCCCAGCUCUUUGGCCCACCCGCUCCCCUCCACUCAGCCUGCCUGCGGCCUCCGCAGGUGCAGAAACUCUCUGCGGCCACCAGGUGGAGGUAAGUGCUUGCGCCUGAUCAGGGCCCGGCAAUCCCUGACAUGGCCACGAGAUGGCGGCAACACUCCGGCUGUGCGCGGCUCUAGGCGGAUGGCACAAUCCCCGGGCCUGAAAGAGGCUGCUUUCCCAGCUGCAGCACCAUGGACGCUCAGAUCUGGCCUCUCCAGUGUCUCUGGGAAGACUCCGGAAGUUACUCCCGAGCCCACCAGCUCCAGGGGACCUCCUGCCCUAAUACCAAGCUUCCAAGCCGCCCAGCGCCCCUCACCCCAAUCUGGGGAGGACCCUCCACUCCCCAGGACGGGAUCCAGGCCUCCUCUGACCUCACACACAUCACACACAGAUGCACGCAGCUGCACCUCAUCCUGGACCGCGCGGCCCGCACCUGCACCCCGCCUACACGCGCCCUGGGGGAGCUCAGUACGCCCUGUGCUGCAUUCCGGAGUUGGCCCCUCUGCUGGCCGCACCACGCGAACAUGUCUGGGGGUUCUCAGCUUCCUCGCCCCACCCGAAGGGCACCCCCGCCCGCUGUCCCCAGGCUGUCCAAGCCUGCACCGGCACCGACCCUGUGUUCCUCCUUUCACCCCGCCUCCUGAGGGUGCCCCGAACCCAGGUUCCUCCUCACCCCCUCUCCAGGCCGGC
rnacentral:lncRNA from 1 species